GACAGUUUAGUUUCUGCUCAUCCACUGGGGGACUUGCCACUUCUUCUAGGAUAAGGCAGAGCUCAGAGUAAGAUUCUAAAGGAGAGAAGAGGUCGGAGGCCCUUGAAGGGACACAAAAGUGAUGAGCGACUUCAGGCUCCUGAGCACUGAAUUGUGUGUUGGAGUACGGCCCUGGCCCCUGUCUGUACACAUCCACGCUCGCCUACUUUGCCCCCAAUCAAAUUAACCUAUUCUGGGGCAAUUGCUCCUUCUGCAAGGCCCCAGGGGUCAGCCCAGGAGUGUUUCAUAAGGUUUAGGUUUGGGCUUAACAGCUAUGAGAGGGAGUGAGCUCCUCGUCACUGGAGCAAGUGGUCAUGAUGUAAGCCGUCCUACGGAGAGACCCCCACGGCAAGGACCUGAGGACCGCCUCCAGCCCGCAGCCAGGGAGAAACUGAGGCCUCAGCCUUCAAGGAAGAGAGCACUGCCCACAAGCAGCCUCGUGAGAGGUCCUGACGCUGAGGACCCGGCCGAGCUGUGCCUGGACUCGGAGCCACAGCCACCGCGAGCUGUUCGUCACACAGCGGGGACAACAAACCCAGGCAACGCCCGCUCUGUCCUGUCCGCUGUUCCCACACAGCCCCUCACACAGCAUCUGUCCUGUCCUAGGUGCUUCGUGAACACCUGUUGGCUGAUGGAAGCGUGAUGCUCACGGAUGUGCGUG
rnacentral:lncRNA from 1 species